rnacentral:rRNA from 1 species
GAUGAACGCUAGCGGCAGGCCUAACACAUGCAAGUCGAGGGAGAAGCCCUUUCGGGGGCAGAAACCGGCGCACGGGUGCGUAAUGCGUAUGCAACCUACCUUUCACAGGGGGAUAGCCCGAAGAAAUUUGGAUUAAUACCCCAUAAUAUUAUUGGAUGGCAUCAUUUGAUAAUUAAAACUGCGGUGGUGAAAGAUGGGCAUGCGUCCUAUUAGCUAGUUGGAGUGGUAACGGCACCCCAAGGCUACGAUAGGUAGGGGUCCUGAGAGGGAGAUCCCCCACACUGGUACUGAGACAGGGACCAGACUCCUACGGGAGGCAGCAGUGAGGAAUAUUGGUCAAUGGUCGGAAGACUGAACCAGCCAUGCCGCGUGCAGGAAGAAUGCCUUAUGGGUUGUAAACUGCUUUUAUAUGGGAAGAAUAAGGCGUACGUGUACGUUGAUGACGGUACCAUAUGAAUAAGCAUCGGCUAACUCCGUG